rnacentral:lncRNA from 1 species
AACACCAUAGUCUCUCAACUCUGACAGAAAAUUGAAUACGUGACUUUCAGGCUAAUACGUGAUUUUCUCUCUCCAACUCUCUCACAACUGAAAGGAUUCUGGUUUCUCUCUAAGGUAUGCUUCUAAUUUCUGUUAAUUUUCAUUUUACUAAUUAAUUGUCAAUAUGAUCAUAUAUAUACACUAUGUUUCUAACAGAAUGGGGUAUUGAUUGUUUGAAUUUGUGUUGUUUUUAUGUUUUGUAUAGAAUGGUUGAUACAAAGAAGAAGGAUGGAAAGAGGAAAAGAAUCACAGAGGGUAAUUCUAUUAAGGACUUGAAGAAAUUUGUUUGGGUUUGUGGAAUUGGAUUCUGAUUUUAAUGUUCCUGUAGUUAAGACAGAAGCUCAAGUUCAUAGCCAGAAGAUAUUUCCAACCCAAAUUUUUUUAAAGGUUUGUUAAUUUAAAUUUUGUUAUUGUUACUAUCAUAUAACUGUUUGGUUACUUCUGCAUUAUGUUUUGGUUACUGUUAGCUUGUGAUUCGGAUACCAUUUUUGUUACCUUGAUUUGGUAUUUUGGUUACUUUUUUAUGUUGUUAUGGUUACCAUGUAUUUGCUUAGUAUACAUGGUUGACUAAACUGGUUUUGGUGUACAUGUUGUUUAUGUAUUGGUUAUCAUUAAAAUUUUUUUUGGUUAUUAUCAUAUAAAUAUUUGGUUACUUCUUUAGUAUGUUUUUGGUUAUUGUUAAUUUUUGAUUUGGAUUCUAUUUUUGUUUCCUUGAGUUGGGAUUUUGGUUACUGUUUUUUGUUGUUCUGAUUACCAUGUAUUUGCUUAGUAUAUAUGGGUUGACUAAACUGUGUUUGGUCUAUAUGUUGUUUAUGUAUUGAUUACCAUUAAUAUACGUUUUGGUUACUAAUAUAUAACUGUUUAGUUACUUCAUUAGUAUAUUUUUUGUUGUUGUUGGCUUAUGAUUUGGAUAUCAUUUUUUUUUCCACAAUUGGGAUUUUGGUUACUUUUAUAUAUUGUUUUGGUUCCAAUGUAUUUGCUUAGUAUACAUUGGUUGACUAAACUGGGUUUGGUAUACAUGUUGUUUAUGUGUUGGUUACCAUUAAAACAUGGUUUGGUUACUAUCAUAUAACUGUUUGGUUACUUCUUCAGUAUAUUUUUUGGUAUACAUGUUUUUAUUUUUGUGACCUUUAAAUUAUGUUUUGGUUAAUAUUAUAUACAACUAUUUGUUUACUGCAUAAUAUGGUGUGUACUACAUGUUGUUAAUAUUUUGGUCACCAUUAGAUUAUAUAAUAUAACUUUUUGGUUACUGCUUUAUUAUGGUAUGGUUAAUGUUAUAUUAUGAUAUAAUAACUAUUAUUGUGCAGUCAAUGUGGGAUGUUGGUUAUUUGUUAUAGUCUAUUUUGGCUACUGUGUAAUUGUUAUAUUAUGUUUUGGUUAGUAUGUUUUUAUUUGUUGGUCACUAUGUAACUGUUUUAUGUUAUAAAUAUUGUUUAUAUCUGGUUACUAAUGACUGUAAAUCUAAUUUUGUUUAUUUACAGUUAUGAGAUCUUUACUAUGAGGAAUGCAACAGAAAAUUCACUGGAAAAAUUAUAUAUUGGUGUGACAUGGAAGUCUCCAGCAUUAUUACCAAGAAAUUGAACCCAAGUCAGUUGGAGAAGUUUAAGGCAUCAUUAGUUUGUGGAUGUUUUAUUUUUGUAAAUAAUAAACCCAAGUCAUAAUAAACCAUGUAUUUGCUUAGUAUACAUUGAUGUAUUAUUUUUGUAAAUUCCUUCAAAUAUAUUCUACAAG